rnacentral:ncRNA from 1 species
UAAAAAGCGUUGAUGAGAAAUAGUAAAGAUAGAUAUUCUUUUACAGAGAGUACCCGGUUGGUGAGAGGGGCAUUGGAACAUAUCUUGAACACAUCUCUGAGCUAUGCACCGAAUCCUUUUGGUAGUAGACUGCAUCGGAUACCUGCACCCGUUAUAGUGCUAGAGUAUAAAUAAGCAAGGGCUUAUCGUACUUGAAGAGUUUGGUACUGCGAAGUAUCAAUAAAAAGGGGUGGAACCACGUGAGUAUAACUCUCGUCCUCUAG